rnacentral:rRNA from 1 species
CAGUCGCCGCGGUAAUACGGAGGGUGCAAGCGUUAUCCGGAUUUAUUGGGUUUAAAGGGUCCGUAGGCGGAUCUGUAAGUCAGUGGUGAAAUCUCACAGCUUAACUGUGAAACUGCCAUUGAUACUGCAGGUCUUGAGUAAAUUUGAAGUGGCUGAAUAAGUAGUGUAGCGGUGAAAUGCAUAGAUAUUACUUAGAACACCAAUUGCGAAGGCAGGUCACUAAGAUUUAACUGACGCUGAUGGACGAAAGCGUGGGGAGCGAACAGGAUUAGAUACCCCUGUAGUCCCUGUCUCUUAUACA